UCCGUAGGUGAACCUGCGGAAGGAUCAUUAUCGUAGGGCUUCGGCCCUGUCGAGAUAGAACCCUUGCCUUUUUGAGUACCUUUCGUUUCCUCGGCAGGCUCGCCUGCCAAUGGGGACCACAAAAACACUUUGCAGUACCUGUAACAGUCUGAACAAACAAACAAAAAUUAAAACUUUCAACAACGGAUCUCUUGGUUCUGGCAUCGAUGAAGAACGCAGCGAAAUGCGAUAAGUAGUGUGAAUUGCAGAAUUCCGCGAAUCAUCGAGUUUUUGAACGCAAGUUGCGCCCGAGGCUUGUCCGAGGGCAUUUCCGCUAGAGCGUCACCGCGCCCCCCACCCACCACAUCUCUUCUGAGUGUGAAUGGAACUGGCCGUCCCGGCACAUCGGGUCGGCUGAAAUGGAGGGAAUUUGGCCGCCGUGGCAUCACUUGCCCCGCGAUCAGGUGCGAUACUCGAAAGAGUUCAUUCCAAGUGCGGGGCUCCCAGUGAGCCCGAGUGCGUGCCCCGAGUUCCACAGCAGGCUACCUUGAGCAGCACCUUGAGUGCUGCAAAGCGUGAAGAGGUAACGGCAUCAGGACCUCUAAUCGGGGAAAAGGGACCUACCCCGGCCCGGAGGUUUAAGGCAUAUCAAUAAGGCGGGAGGGGAAGGUCGGACUGGCCAAGGGGCACACAGGGGGGGGGAUA
rnacentral:rRNA from 1 species